GGGGCAGGUGAGAACCCAAGAUAAAAGAACGCUGGACAAAUGUGAAAGAGAGCUGGACAGUUGAGAGGAGGCAGCUGGAGAGCUGGAGAAGCCAGAGGAGCCUGGGACAAGACAAGAUGUGAGGAAUGAAGACCAGAGGGAAAGGCAGAGAUGAAGCUGAACUCUAUUCCUCUACCUUUUUGGCUGCUGAGCAGUUAACAUUGUAAGUGGAAAUGUACAUUUAACAACAGAUGGGGGGAAUAUGAUUCAGAUGCUGGUGAGCCAGCAGGAUACCUACUGAAGUCCAGCUGCCAAGGAUUAAAAAAAAAAAGGAACAAAAAAAAA